rnacentral:rRNA from 1 species
ACUCAAAGGAAUAGACGGGGGCCCGCACAAGCGGUGGAGCAUGUGGAUUAAUACGUCACUAACCGUAGAACCUUACCCAGGCUUGACAUCUCCGGAAUCCCCCUGAAAGGGGGGAGUGCUCGCAAGAGAGCCGGAAGACAGGUGUUGCAUGGCUGUCGUCAGCUCGUGUCGUGAGAUGUUGGGUUAAGUCCCGCAACGAGCGCAACCCUCACUGUCUGUUGCCAGCACGCUUCGGCGGUUGGGCACUCUGACGGAACUGCCCGGGCAACCGGGAGGAAGGUGGGGAUGACGUCAAGUCAGCAUGGCCCUUACGCCUGGGGCUUCACACAUGCUACAAUGGCUGGUACAAAGGGUUCCGAAGCCGUGAGGUGGGGGCAAUCCCAAAAAGCCAGUCCCAGUUCGGAUCGCAGGCUGCAACUCGCCUGCGUGAAGCCGGAAUCGCUAGUAACCGCCGGUCAGCUAAACGGCGGUGAAUACGUUCCCGGGCCUUGUACACACCGCCCGU